ACCACAGCCUGAACACCACCAUUAUUAUUACCACCACCAUUACCACAGGUAACGGUGCGGGCUGACGCAUACAGGAAAAACAAAAGAAAGAAGCCCGCACCUCAACAGUGCGGGCUUUUUUUUC
rfam:Pantoea dispersa strain SA5 contig_24, whole genome shotgun sequence.